rnacentral:rRNA from 1 species
UCCUACGGGGCGCAGCAGUGAGGAAUAUUGGUCAAUGGGCGCGAGCCUGAACCAGCCAAGUCGCGUGAGGGAGGACGGCCCUACGGGUUGUAAACCUCUUUUGCCGGGGAGCAACGGGCGUCACGUGUGGCGCCACUGAGAGUACCUGAAGAAAAAGCAUCGGCUAACUCCGUGCCAGCAGCCGCGGUAAUACGGAGGAUGCGAGCGUUAUCCGGAUUUAUUGGGUUUAAAGGGUGCGUAGGCGGAAUGCCAAGUCAGCGGUAAAAUCGCGGGGCUCAACCUCGCUCCGCCGUUGAAACUGGCGU